GCCGGAGUGGCGGAACGGCAGACGCGGCGGUCUCAAAAACCGCUGGGGGGCGACCCCCGUGUGGGUUCGAGUCCCUCCUCCGGCACCG
rnacentral:tRNA from 1 species